GAAUAUACCCUUCACUACGGAAUAGCCUCGGGAAACUGGGAGUAAUACCGUAUACGCCCUUUGGGGGAAAGAUUUAUCGGUGAAGGAUUAGCCCGCGUCUGAUUAGAUAGUUGGUGGGGUAAUGGCCUACCAGUCUAC
rnacentral:rRNA from 1 species